UCUAAUUAUUGUUGUAUGUAUGCAUUUUGCACACUUCAUCCCCUCCUCUCCACAUAACCAAUUCUCUUCUUUCCCUCCUCUCUUACACUUAUUACCUUCUCCCCGCAUGCAUAUUUCUCAUAAUGUUGGCUUCUUCUUCUUCUACUAGAUAUAUGUAAUUCUCUGCCUUUUUUAUCACCUCAGAACCUACUUUGUGGGACUAUACUGGGUAAUUGUUGUUGUUCUGACUUCUUUGAUUUCGAGCUCCCUCUUAGAUUGAGUAUUGUCAAAUUUAGAGACUAUAGUCCUUUCUUUCUUUCCCAUGGUUCCGCUCCUCUCAAGAUGUCUUCUCGCCAAGACCUCCACUUCUUCCUCUCAAGG
rnacentral:lncRNA from 1 species